AUCUCUGAGUCUAUUACCAUGGACAGGGCUCAGAGUGCUCUGACUGGCAAGAUCUGGGUCACAUUUACAUCUCUGAAGCAGGGAAUGGUCGCCCCACUCACUCCAGAAGAAUAGGGUGUGGGGGGAGGAGUUAUCUCCAUUUGGAAAGAGUUGUAGGCUUUUCCCUUAAAGAUCAGCUAUUCAUGGCCCUGUUGGCUCAGAAGGUAGUGUGAAUUGUUUUUCUGUCACUUGCAACCAAAAUGAAGACAUGUUUAAAUUCCUGUCUUCCCAGAUAAAUGGUGAGCUCCAAAAGA